rnacentral:piRNA from 1 species
UAGGGUGAAAACGCGUUGUUGGGUUCACU